rnacentral:rRNA from 1 species
UUGACCUCGGAUCAGGUAGGGUUACCCGCUGAACUUAGCAUAUCAUAGCGGAGGAAAAGAACCCACAGGGAUGCCUCAGUAACGGCGAGUGAAGCGGCAACAGCUCAAUUUGAAUCUGGCGGCCUCUGGCCGUCCGAGUUGUAAUUUGAGAGGAUGCUUUUGGCGAGGCGCCUUCCGAGUGCCCUGGAACGGGACGCCACAGAGGUGAGAGCCCCGUAUGGUUGGACGCCGAGCCUCUGUAAAGCUCCUUCGACGAGUCGAGUAGUUUGGGAAUGCUGCUCAAAAUGGGAGGUAAACCCCUUCUAAAGCUAAAUACUGGCCAGAGACCGAUAGCGCACAAGUAGAGUGAUCGAAAGAUGAAAAGCACUUUGAAAAGAGAGUUAAAUAGCACGUGAAAUUGUUGAAAGGGAAGCGCUUGCGACCAGACUUGUGCCCGUCGAAUCAGCCGCCGCUCGCCGGCGGCGCACUUCGGCGGGCUCAGGCCAGCAUCAGUUCGCUGCAGGGGGAGAAAGGCGGCGGGAAUGUGGCUCUUCGGAGUGUUAUAGCCCGCCGCGCAAUACCCCUCGGCGGACUGAGGACCGCGCAUCUGCAAGGAUGCUGGCGUAAUGGUCGUCAGCGACCCGUCUUGAAACACGGACCAAGGAGUCGUCCUAAUAUGCGAGUGUUCGGGUGUAAAACCCCUGCGCGUAAUGAAAGUGAACGGAGGUGAGAGCUUCGGCGCAUCAUCGACCGAUCCUGAUGUUCUCGGAUGGAUUUGAGUAAGAGCAUAUUGGGCCGGACCCGAAAGAAGGUGAACUAUGCCUGUAUAGGGUAAAGCCAGAGGAAACUCUGGUGGAGGCUCGCAGCGGUUCUGACGUGCAAAUCGAUCGUCAAAUAUGGGCAUGGGGGCGAAAG